UACGGAAGGCAGCAGUGGGGAAUAUUGCACAAUGGGCGAAAGCCUGAUGCAGCUAUGCCGCGUGUAUGAAGAAGGCCUUAGGGUUGUAAAGUACUUUUCAUCGGGGAGGAAAAAACAAAAACUAAUAAUUUUAUUUUCUUUGACGUUACCCGAAAAAGAAGCACCGGCUAACUCCGUGCCAGCAGCCGCGGUAAUACGGAGGGUGCUAGCGUUAAUCAGAAUUACUGGGCGUAAAGAGCACGUAGGUGGUCUUUUUUAAGUUCAGAUGUGAAAUCCCCUGGGCUUAACCUAGGAACUGCAUUUUUGAAACUGAAAUACUAGAGUAUCGUAGAGGGGAGGUAGAAUUCUAGGUGUAGCGGUGAAAUGCGUAGAUAUCUGGAGGAAUACCUGUGGCGAAAGCGGCCUCCUAAACGAAUACUGACACUGAGGGUGCGAAAGCGUUGGGGAGCAAACAGGGAUUUAGAUACC
rnacentral:rRNA from 1 species